AGCAGGGGAGUGUUGCCAUGAUGGUGUUCUUCUUGGGUUUGAUGUCUGAAUGCUUCGUCUGUUCGCAGGGCCACUAGAUUGUAGAUCAUUGAGGUCUGCCACCAUGUCAUCUAAAAAAUGCAGGUCGGUUGGCCGCUUGUUUCCGCACGUCAGUGUGAUUGGGAAAACAGUGAUGGGCUUGAGGUGGACAGCACAUAGGACAGGCCACAUUGCUUUCCCUGAGCUCUUGAACAGCGGCAAUCCAUCAAUGUUGAAGGACAGAUUAACUGUGUCGCAGUCAGACAGCUGUUCAAAUGGCAGGGUACGAGCGGAGGAUGGGAGAUCCGAGUGGCCAUGAUUCUGAAGAAUCUUCAACAACUGAUCAACGGCAUUGUUCUUCACCUGACAGUCAGUGGGUACCUCCCCAUCAUCCUCAAACGCUACCUCCCUGUCGUCUUCAUAGGCUUCUCCCCUAUCAUCGUCCAAUGCUACCUCCAUGUCAUCCUGCAAGUAUUCCUCCAACUCUAAUGAUGCUGUAAUGGACUGUGGGGAUGACAUGUUUUCAGUGUCGUCCACGUGGUUGCCCAUGUGGCUGUCAUCAAUCAGAUGCUCUGUGUCUAUCUUUUUGAGCACACGUUUAGCUGAUCUCCAGGAUCGGAGGUAUUGCCUUGAUCUUUCUUGCUUCUCAUCACUCAUUCUGUUGAGAAAUUUGUAGACUAUUUACUAUUUAACAACAAUUGUUGUGUUUUAGAUUGUAUCACACUUUGGGCAGCAAAGAUUACCUUAUUUCACUGAUUGCGCAAUAAAUGGAAACAUAAAUGUACAUGAAACAAAAUAGCUGGCUUGCAGUGUCAUGAGACCUAAAGUAGCAAGCAAGCUUGUUCAGGGAAAUGUAAUUGUUGCUUGGCAACAGUACAGUUGGGAAACUGUAUGUGUUGGCAGAGACAAAUAAUUUAUUAAAUAUGCAGUAAAUAAUUUACAAUUAUUUACGGCACUCUUUAAAGAUGUUCCGGCCACUUGGCGUCAAACCUAGGAAGUUCCGGCCACUUGGCGUCAAACCUAGUUGAAGAAUGCACUUGAACGAGGGGAAUCAUCCACAACACUAGGGAGAGGUAAGUUGUUUCAUACAGAAGGAUAUGCUUGGUGUAGAUUAAUGGUGCCAUUGUCACAUAAAUAUUCGUUUAUCAGGUAUCAUGAUGUCGCGUAUUUGAAGGUUACCGCGAGUAACGUAAGGCUGAUCAGUACGUUAGCUCUAACGUUGACACCCAGCUCGCUAGCUCUAGCUUGUUCAUUCGCUCGUGCAAUUGCGUUUAGCCGUUAGCUCCGAGGUUAUAACUGUCAGAUUAGCAUAGGGAACCUGACCUUACCAAAUGGUUAUAGUAAGAAAAAUCUGAUUAAUAACUAAAUCUUUCACAUCCCCAUCAACGAUUAAAUACUUUACAUUUAGCUACAUGUACAACUACAUACUAGUACACCAGUGUAGUCUCACCUGAUUGUUGGUCUUGGUCAGCUACUGUACCGUACCGUACAAACCUAGCUCUAGCUAGCUCUAUAUCUAACGCUAAAACUAAUUUAACUACAAUAUACAGCAAAAUAUCU